rnacentral:lncRNA from 1 species
CAGCGUCAUCCGAGUUUGGUCGGGGUAGGCCGUCAUUGUAAAUAAGAAUUUGUUCUUAACUGACUUGCCAAGUUAAAUAAAGGUUAAAUUAAAAAUAAUAAAACAAAAUAUAUAAUUAAUGUGUGUAAUUCCAGUCCAUAUAAUACAUUAUAAUACACUACAGUAAUACAGUUCACACUAAAAAAAAAAAGAUUAGAUUACUAUAGCUGGUAUAAUUGAUUUACCCAAGAGAGCAUAUAGCUAGCUCCAUCAAAGGGCUUUUUAUGUUUUUCUGUCAUCCAUAAUAUGCAGUAGACUAUAUCAUAUAUGUAUUGGACAACGGCACAAUCAUUUGGGCUUUUUUUGGGGGGCUCAUUAAAUGUCAUUUAUGUAGGUCUCAUUAAAUGUAUUUAAUCUAUGGCUCAUCAGUCUCAGGACCGGGAUUGAGAACCACUGCAUAAAGAAGUCUAAUCAUAUCCAGCCAAUGUACACUAUAUGCUUGAUAAUGCUUUUGAAAGACACUUCCAGGUUUUGGCAAGAAAUAACAGGUUACCAGGGAGAAAAUUAUUUAUUUCACAGGAUGGAACAUUUGUAAAAAUACCGGGAAAAAUAUUCAACCUCUACUGUGCAACCUCCAUUUGAAAGGAAAGGGACAUCUGUUUACACACACACCAUAAGGGUAAUGCCAUUCAGUAUACUAAGUUACCAUAGGUGGGGUGUUCACCACAAAAAUACACCUUUGUAAUAAAGCAUUCGAUGCAUCGUCGCAUUUUCAGACUCAUGUAAAAAGACCUACUAUUCCCAAUGUAAUUGGAUAAUCUUAAUUUAGGCAAAUAAUAUAAAUCAGUCACCGUUCUUUAAAAAAAGACUGUUGAGAAUGUAGAGCAUAGUGAAGUAGGCCUGGGCAUAUCACACACAGGACCAGUCAGAAGGUUUCGACACACCUACUUGUAGAAUAAUAGUGAAGACAUCAACACUAUGGUUAGGAUGUGCUGAGAGUCCCUGCAUGGCUAGGAUGCCCUGAGAGACCCUGCAUGGUUAGGAUGCCCUGGGAGAUUCUG